CAGUAGCCACGGGAAUACGAAGGGGGCUAGCGUUGUUCGGAUUUACUGGGCGUAAAGGGCGCGUAGGCGGACUGAUAAGUCAGGGGUGAAAUCCCAAGGCUCAACCUUGGAACUGCCUUUGAUACUGUUUGUCUUGAGUUCGAGAGAGGUAAGUGGAACUGCGAGUGUAGAGGUGAAAUUCGUAGAUAUUCGCAAGAACACCAGUGGCGAAGGCGGCUUACUGGCUCGAAACUGACGCUGAGGCGCGAAAGCGUGGGGAGCAAACAGGAUUAGAUACCCCUGUAGUCCCUGUCUCUUAUAC
rnacentral:rRNA from 1 species